UCGACCCGCCCCUCUCUCCUUCGGUCACGGGGGUGUCACCCGGCAAGUAAUUGCCCCCAUCGCCAGCCUGUACCUGCCCUGUGUGCGUGUGUAUGCGUGCCAUCUUCCAUCAUCCUUAUAUACACUGUUCCAUAUACUACCAUAUAUAUAUAUAGGACACCUGGCUACCGGUACGAGAGGGACGCUCAGGCCUGACGAGAGGGGGGGUCUGGUGUACCGGGCCCGCGGCUGUCAAGGGGGCCCGGCCUUGAUUUCCGUCAUUUGAUCUUCCGUGGACUCGAUGUCGGCGCCUGAAAGCAUCCCUUGUGAUGUUCUCUCCGGAUGGUCUCUGACCAACUUUCGACCUGGCAGAUAUAAAGGUGAUUUUUCUGAAAGCCAAGCCAAUAACUUAAACCCGAUGCCCACAAGCCUUCUUCUUGAGUGCGGAUGACCCAGCGCUUCCAGUCCAUGUGGAAUGAGUGCAUGGUCCCCCAGCAUCUUAAGGAUUCCAACACAGUCCACAUCUACAAAAGAAAGGGAAACCACCAGUCCUGCAAUAACCACAGGGUUAUCUCAUUGCUGUCCAUAGCUGGCAAAAUCAAGGCACGGCUUCCUUCAUUAUCUUUAGAGGAACAUGCUUCCUGAAAGCCAGUGUGGGCGUCGUCUGCUGUUUCAACAAAUCCUGUCCAUCUGACCUCCACCAGUCCCACAAUGUCGCACUGGUACCGUUAACUCAUGGGGACAGCUUUAUGUGAGGGUGGUGUCCAGUCCUAACACUUUAUGGAGUCAGAUAGCCAUUCCCAACAGCUGGGUCAACUGGAGGAAGAUUGUUGUGCCACUCAGUUUGGACACCUGUUUCCAACUACUCGGCUAUCUGCUUCUCAGUAAUUGUAUGCAUACCUCCAACUGGCUUUCAUAUAGAUUCAUCAGACGUCAGGAGAAUGUGGUUCUCUGGAUGGCUAUGUGACUGGCUGAAGAAAGUUAAUCUUUGUUGGUGAACUUGGUUUGGUAAAGCACCACUUAGAAGAUUGAUCAGUUUGAGCACCAGGACAGGAACUGAAGAAGUAUAUGAGUUUGCGUUAUGUGAAAAAAUCAAUAGAAUUUCAACGGAGAUUGCUUGUGUAAUGAGCAGUUAAGACCGGUCUUUUCAUAAUGACAUAUUACAACCGAAUUUAGUUUAUGAACAUUUCAUAUGUU